rnacentral:rRNA from 1 species
UACGAAGGUGGCAAGCGUUGCUCGGAAUCACUGGGCUUAAAGCGCGUGUAGGCGGGAAAUUAAGUGCUUUGUGAAAUCCCUCGGCUCAACCGAGGAAUUGCUUGGCAUACUGGUUUCCUUGAGGCAGGUAGGGGCGCAUGGAACUCUAGGUGGAGCGGUGAAAUGCGUAGAUAUCUAGAGGAACGCCGGUGGUGAAAACGGUGCGCUGGGCCUGUCCUGACGCUGAGGCGCGAAAGCGUGGGGAG